UGCCAGCCGCCGCGGUAAUACGGAGGGUGCAAGCGUUAAUCGGAAUUACUGGGCGUAAAGAGUACGUAGGCGGCUUAUUAAGUCAGCUGUGAAAGCCCCGGGCUUAACCUGGGAACUGCAGCUGAUACUGGUAGGCUAGAGUUUGUGAGAGGGUAGUGGAAUUCCUAGUGUAGCGGUGAAAUGCGUAGAUAUUAGGAGGAACAUCAGUGGCGAAGGCGACUGCCUGGCACAAAACUGACGCUGAGGUACGAAAGCGUGGGGAGCAAACAGGAUUAGAUA
rnacentral:rRNA from 1 species